rnacentral:rRNA from 1 species
CGCCAUCAGUCGUCGCUCGACACUGACGACAUGGUUCUACAAAACUACGAUUAGAUACCCUAUUAUUUAAAGUGAAUUUUUAUUCUUAGGUAGUAGUAGUUAUGAUCUUGAAACUUAAAAAAUUUGGCGGUAUUUUAGUCUAUCCAGAGGAACCUGUUCUGUAAUCGAUAAUCCACGUUGGACCUUACUUAAUAAUGUAUUCAGUUUAUAUACCGUCGUUAUAAGAAUAUUUUAUAAGAAUAGUAAUUUUCUUUAAUUUUUAUUAAAAUUUAUAUCAGAUCAAGGUGUAGCUAAUGAUUAAGUAGAAAUGGGUUACAAUAAAUUUAUUUAAACGGAUUUAACUAUGAAAAAGUUUUUGAAGGUGGAUUUGGUAGUAAAAUUAUUUAUGAUAAUAAUUUGAUUUUAGCUCUAAAAUAUGCACACAUCGCCCGUCGCUCUUAGACCAAGUCUCUGCUACCGUACGAGCGACGACUGAGCGGGCUGG